ACUUAAAUAGUUUAAUAAAAAAUAUUGAUUUGUGGUGUCAAAGUUAUAAGAAAUUUAUUUUAAGUC
rnacentral:tRNA from 1 species